GACAGAGGGUGCGAACGUUGUUCGGAAUUACUGGGCGUAAAGCGCGUGUAGGCGGCAGCGCAAGUCGGGCGUGAAAUCCCACGGCUCAACCGUGGAAGUGCACUCGAAACUGCGCAGCUAGAGUCCUGGAGAGGAAGGUGGAAUGCUUGGUGUAGAGGUGAAAUUCGUAGAUAUCAAGCGGAACACCGGUGGCGAAGGCGGCCUUACUGGACAGU
rnacentral:rRNA from 1 species